AUGAUUAUCUUUGCCUGGAACUGCCGAGGCUUGGGGUUGGACUCGGCAAUUGGCGAGCUUCGGGACCUGAUUAGGUCAUACAACCUACAGAUGGUGUUCUUAUCAGAAACUAAGAAGAGAUCCGGAGCGAUGGAUAGACUCAAGUGGAGUUUGGGGUUUACCAAAGGGGUAGCGGUGGAUUGCAAGGGCAAGAGUGGAGGUUUAGCACUAUGGUGGAGGGACGAU
rnacentral:rRNA from 1 species